GCUUAAAAUACUAUCUAAAUGUUUAUCAUACAUAUACAGUACAAAAAUAUUUCCGUUUAAUAAAGGUUUUCACAUGGUAUCUAUUGGGAAAUAAUUCAAAUAUUAUGUAAACUGCUAAUUCAAUACAUUUUCGUUAUCUCGCAGAAAAAGAAUAUGUAUGCCUUUUGACCUAGUAAUUCUUUUGUAUGUGAAAAUCAUGACGGCUCUGUGAAUAGAUUUAGCUACAAGGGUGUGCAUUUCAGUGUUGUCUAAAACAUCAUAAAACUAGAAACAAUAAAGCUGUCAUUUACUGAAUACUCACAUGUGUAAUGCACCCUAUUGUUAUAUGAAAAUCAUCUUAUUUUUCACUACGACAGUCCUCUGGGGAAACCAUCAGCGUCAUUACACUCCUUCUUACAGAUGAAGGAGGAGUCCAAAUCAAAAAGCACAAAUCAGAGCAGGGCUUUGCAUCCAGCUGUGCCUCUCUCCCUAACAGCCUAAAAUACCUGAUGCACGAUGGCAUUAGGAAAUCUCACAAAUGGCUAGGUAUCAGCACAGACUGAUCUUCACAACGGACUGUGAGAUGAAAAAAGACAAGUUCAAAAUCAAUAUGAUUUAACUUGUUUCCUACUUAUCACACACACACACACACACACACCCCCACGGAAGGUACAUGCUAGGAGGAUAACAGUAUUUAACAGUCAUGCUCCCUGACUGAGAGGACAGUAAGUAAUUUCAAUCUUCUUUGUUUUGUUCACCUGUAUUUUCGACCAUAGAUUUCUGUGCUGCUCUUUUUGCUUUAAAGAUUGCAAAAGUUGCCGUUCUGCCUUUAACUAAACUGAGGUGACACCGAUGGCUGUAGGACAACGCACGUUAGCUUUUUUCCAGGGUGUGAAGAAGACUGCCAUUUCGGCAGACCUGUGAUGUGAUGACGCAAGGCUUGUUCUUGGGACCGCUCCUCUCGGUCAGGACGGCCUCUCGCGCCCUCGGGGGUCUUCCUCUUAUUUCCCCUGCCAAGUGUUCUUCCAUGGUCUUGGCCUUGGCACUCAUCCACUGAUCAGUGACUAUGGCUGCUUUCCUCUUGACAAGAGUCAGGUUAUGUUUUAGUAUGGAACUGAUCUUAUAAAUGUAAUUAAAAUUCUUUCUAAUUAAAAGUAAUGUAAAUUCAUUGGAGAAAAGUUAGAAUAUUCUGAAAAGUGUAAAAAGCCCAUAAAACUCACCCAUCAUUCCCUCUCCUGGAAUUAAUAGGGGACUCUGGGAAUUGGUAAAGCUGGACUAUCCAGAGGGCCUGGUGGAGUGAUAGGCAGUGGGGAGAUGGCAUGAACCUCACAGGACCCCUGCCCUCCAUCAAGGCAGCAUGGCAUCAUGGGAAAGCCACAGCAUCUCGGGGUUCAGGAAAUCUGGCUUCUUAACCUCCUUCACCUGGUACCAGCAGCUUACUAAACUUCUUUGACACCCUUUCCUGAGUAUACCCCAAUUUCUUUUUGGAAUGAAGUAGGGAAUGUACAAAAGAGUGAUUAAACAAGUAAUGUAUUUUCUUUUUUAGGUUUUUCUUUUUUUGGUUCUUCCUACUUCAUCAGGUGGGUGAGCAUAUUGAAAUGAGAUUGAGUGAGCGCUCUGUAUAAAGCAGAGUGUGGGACAGUUGUAAGUGCACCUCAAAGUGACCGAGGGUGGGUUCUGGUCUGUGUGGCUUUUCCAGGCUGCAGACAUAACGAGGGCAUGACAACGGACCUUUGCAAGCCGUCCUGUGUGACUCUUCCCCAUUCGGCACUCCGGACACAGGAGGAGCCAGACUCUGCCCGCCUUUCCUCUCUCUGUCCUGGCCACCCUCGCAAAGAUUUUGUUUACGGGUCAUCACCCGUAAGCCACCCCGAGUGGCGUGGCAAAUGAGGGUGUGAUGGGCUGAGUUCUCGUUGUUUCCAGCCAUAGGUAGGACAGUGUAGGGGAGAGACAGUGCAAGCUUUAUAACCCUGGCUCUGCUGCUUUUAGUCCCAAGACCUUGAACAAAGUACUUACCCACUCUGAGCCUCCAUCUAUAAAGUGGGGAUGAUAAUCCUUAUGGGACUGUUGCUGGGAUCACAUGGGAAAAUGUGCAUGAAUGACUGGCUCUGAAAAGGUGCGUUGUAAGCAUUUAAUUCCCUUCCACUUCCCUUUAAAAGUUAUAUAAAGAUGGAGCAGGAAUUCCCUGGUGGUCCAGUGGUUAAGACUCCGUGCUUCCAAUGCAGGGGGCGCAGGCCCUGGCUGGGGAACUAAGAUCCCACAUUGCUGCGUGGUGUGGCCAGAAUCUUUUUAAAAAAUGUUUUAACAAAAGUUAUAUAAAGCUGGAGAGACGGAGGUGGAGAGAGGCUGCGGAGGGCUUAGCAGGCGUCCCACGGCCGGGGGGAAGCAGACCUGGCCGUGAAGCCAUACCUCGUGCUCAGUUCCCUGCGCCUCAGAGGGGCCAGGCUGUUUGUCUUUCCUGCAGGUUCUGACUGCUGCCAUCAGCUGCAACUUAUGAAGCGCUACCCCACUUUUCCACACUGGAAGUGGCUUUCAAAGUUUUAAAGAGAAUGACAAGGUAGAAUUAGUCACCAAAGGGCUGGCGAGCUGUUGUCCUAUUGGGAGGACCCAUAGAACUGAGGAAGAGAAGGAAUGGAAGCCAGUGGGCAGCCUGUUCUCAUCGCGGCGCCCGUGCUUUGCCCGUGACCCUCAGCGCUGACCUGAAGCACGAAGACCCCUGGAACCUCCCGGGGGCAGCGCUGGAAUGUACUCCCUACUCCAGGAAACUCGCCCAGCAGGCUUCCAGGGGGAUCAGCGUCCUCCCCGCUAGGCCUCCGUCUGUUGUCUCCUUUACGCAGUGGCUACGUGCACCGGCGACCCAGGGGAGCAUGGCACUGCGCUUUACAGUUUCCAGAAUGCUUCCUCUGCGGUACCUCAACGACCCUCUCAAAGGCCCAGAGAGAGCCGUACCUGCUGCUUUAGUUCACAGCCAAGACUGAAGAUCACUCGGUCCACGGCUCUCACUUCACAGGGAGGCUCCGCGCUGUCCCCCGCCGCUGUCAUCGGGCCGGAGACGGCUCGGCAGCAGGCAGCUGCUUUGGCGAAGGAGGUUGGCUGCCCCACCUCGUCCAUCCAAGAAAUGGUGUCAUGCCUCCGCCAGGAGCCUGCCAGUGUCCUCAAUGACGCCCAGACCAAGCUCCUGGCCGUGAGUGGCCCUUUCCACUACUGGGGUCCUGUGGUCGAUGGCCGGUACCUCCAAGAAGCUCCAGCCAGAGCCCUGCAGAGAACUCCGCGGGUGAAGGUGGAUCUGCUCAUCGGGAGUUCUCAGGAUGACGGGCUCAUCAGCAGAGCCAAGGCCGUGAAGGGAAAUGGUUGACUAGAUGAAGAUACACACUAUUGAAUAUGCUGAGCUAUUGAAUAUGAUGCAGAC